AGGGAAGGGGCGGCAGCGAGCUCGCCAGGCGGCCAGGAACCCGGGUGGGGCCGGGACCGAGGCGGUGGCUGGCCAGCGGAGCUCAGGCCGGGCGCGGCGCGCCGGGUGAAGGCGGCAAGGCGGCAAGGCCCCGGCCGAGGCCGGCGGAGCCGCGCAGCUGCGGCCGGCUGACGUGAGCGGCGUGCGGGUCCCGGCCGGCAGCGCGCUGGCGGCCAUGGCGGUGGCGCUGGCGGGCCGCGGGGCGCGCGGCGGCAGGGGCCGGCCCCCGGGCGGGCGGGCGGAGGGGGCGGGGCCGGGGCGCCGGGCGGCCCGCGCGACAGCGGCGGCGAAGACGACGGAGACGGGGGGCGCUGGGGCUGAUGACAGCGGCCGGGCCCGGGGCGGCGCCGUCCCCGCGGCGGUGCGACAGCGACCCGGCCUCCCCCGGAGCGCAGUCCCCAAAGGCUGGCUUCAAACCCUGUAUCUACCUCCCGAGUGUUGGGAUUACAGAUGUGUACCACCAUGCUGGGUAUAUUCAGUGCUGGAGAUUGAGCCCGCAGCUUCAUGACUGCCAGGCAAGCACUGCCUUCACUAAAUGCAGCCCCAGAGCUAUAGCUGAAACCUUGCAUGAGCUUCUUCUUCUUGCCUAUUACCAUCAACAUCUUCCUAAAAACAGUAAUAGAAAGCAAGAGAUCUGAAGUUCUGUGUUCAUCCAUGAGGAUUCUCACACUCACGUCGCCGAGGGCUCGCUCCAGACAGGAAGCUAGUUUCAUCACGCCGAGGGAGACGGCAGCAGGCUGCGAGCUUUGCAAGGCAUCAAGUAUCUCAAGAAACAACUAUUCAGAGGAAGACACACACUCGAGCUCAGAUUCAGUGAAAGAUGUUUCUCAAAGCAACAAUAAUGUUUAUUCAAUUACUAUUUCCGCACUCAAGCCUCUUAAGAUUUGAAGGUUUAAAACUUUCGGAAUAAAAAGAGUUUAUAUUGGAAAUACUAUAAUAAAGGAAAUUAUCUAACACCUAA
rnacentral:lncRNA from 1 species